GCCCCUGUGGCGCAAUUGGAUAGCGCAUGCGACUUGUUAGUUCCCGAAAAAUCCCGAUUAUUAUCCAUAAUGCUAACUAAUCCUUUCACAGCUAUGAAACAUCAUUUGGAAUCGCAAGGCUGCGGGUUCGACCCCCGCCAGGGGUU
rnacentral:tRNA from 1 species